ensembl:lncRNA
UGCGUUCGAUGGUUCUAUAUUUACGUGCGGAGGUUCCAUCAUUUCAGCAGAGAUUUCGCUUAAAUUAAAAGCCUAAAAAGCUCUUAAAAUGUGGUACUGAGUACUUCUACCACCGCUGUUUACUACUAAACACACAAGAAAAGAAAGGUGGCGUUUCUUGAAACUUUCACUAAGAAAGUCUUGAUUGAGUUCAAUCAUUGUAACUUAUAGAACAGAAUCAAGGUGAUUGUUGCGUCUCACCGUCUUUGCCAAAUUCAAAAUGGAUGUUGACAAAUUGGAAAAUGUCAUCAUUUCUGAGUACAGGAAGCUGCAAGCUGCUUAGAAAGCGUCGUAUACUUGGAAAGGGUAGAAAUGAAAACACGUUGACCUUCAGCGCUCGUUCAUCUGGGGACGUUUUACUCGGCACCAAGAACUACGUGAAAGAGUCGCUUUUAUUUCUUCACUUUUCCAGCCAAAUAUAAAAAUGAUGACCACGCGUUUGGAAAACAAAACUCAUGGGACCAGAGCGGUUUGAGACUCGUGGAUGCGUAUUUGUCCAUCCGUUGUAAUCCACGCAACCCAAAUGAAACAUCAACUUAAACACAACACUCGCUCUUCUCGUCGCCACUCGCUCCGUCUAAAGGUUCCCGUCGUGUGGCCCCGGGAUGAACGCGGGCUUCACGGGAGUCGCUGGUUAAACUGUCGCGCCUGCGGGCCGGUUGGUGUCCUGUGGUGUCCACAGAGCAGGUGAGGCAGGUGCCAGAAGCUCUGCACGUCCUCUUCGGGGAUCCUUUCCUCCGAGUGGCGCCCAGCGACCAUCCGGGCGGAGCUUCCACAUGAAUCUGUAGAAGGAAAACGCCGGCGAGCCUCCGUCCAGGCUCGCAUCCCUGCCGGGGGUUUUGUGGUGCAGAAAUGUUCUCUCAAGUAUAGCUGCUAAUUAUUCUACGUCUGCCAGUGAUUCAAACCACCUUUUGACAGCGUGCCGUACGUUAGCAAAAUCUAAUUGCAUUGGCACAUUUUAUUAUCUUUGCGACGAGCGCGGCACGGGGGCGUUCACACAGGAGGGCGGUUAGCCACCGCAGCUCGCUAAAUGCUAAUUUGUUCGGGGACCAGAAGCGGCUUCUGCUCAGUCCUCGUUGGAUGUGCCCACGCGGACACAUUGCUCGACCCCCGGCGGCUGCGUGCAUGAAGCCCCGCCCCCCAUCGCCGCCCCGCACGCCUGCUGCAGAAAGGCUCCCGCGCAACGAAGCAGAAACUCUAAUAAGGUCUUUACAAGGCGGAGAUUUCAUUUUCUCUCUGUCCCUCACGCCCGCAUGCGCCAUUUCAUUCAAAUCCCACCCAGGUUGAGCGGUCAAGGGGGCAGCGAGGGGAGGGGGGGGGGGACAUGUAAUGAAUAAUGGGACAUCUAUUAACUGUCACAGCGGGACGUCCACUUUCCUUUUUCUCCUCCUCGCUGGCCUUUCUCCGGGGUCGCUCAGAUCCUCGGAGCCCCCUCUGAUCAGGUGAUCAUGCAAACGUUGCUUGGUGGGACAAGCUGUGUGAGUUAGAUCUGGCCGAAGCUGAAGAUCACAGUAUGAAAGUCAAAAGACACGAUGAUGAACUUCACUAGUUUUGUGUUAGAAUCACCAAACACAAUGUUGGGGCAGCGUGAAGCCGAACUCUGAAAUAAAAGAAGGUACAGAAUCCUUUUAAUACGAACUAACCCCAAGUCUCGAUGCCGGGUAAAUAAAAAGCAAAGACGGGAUCCUCUGAGCGUGAUUUAUGUCUUGAUGUUGUCGAGAUGCUCCUCCCGGCCAACGUUUGCCAGCCACACGGAGAGGGAGGAGGACUGCAGC